rnacentral:lncRNA from 1 species
CCGGCCGCGCUCGCGCUCCGGGGAUCGCCCCGCCCUGGCCGCUUCCGCCCGGGCCCCCGCUCUCGCCGGUGGGGGCCGGCGCUGCCGGUGGCUGGUGCGCGACCCGAGGAAUGAACAGGGAGCCCGGCACCCGCGGCCCGGACCCCGCCUCGCCCUGCGCCCCGGCCACGCCACCGCCUCCACCAUCUCCUCCGCCUCCACCGCCUCCUCCGCCUCCACCGCCUCCUCCGCCUCCACCGCCCUCGCCGCCGCCCGGCCCGCGCCGCGCCCCGGAGGCCGCCGGCUACUCCCACCAGCUGCUGCUGCUGCUCCUGCACUGAGCGCCGCCCCGCGCUGCGCCUUUGUCCCCGCCGCGCAGGGCCGCGCACCCGGAGGCGCCGGGCGGGCAUGGGUGGCCUCCGCUGAUGCCGCCGCCGCGCCGCCCUCCGAGGCUGCGUCUCGGGAAGCCCAGCGGCCCGCGGCCCGCGGCCGGCAACGCGCCCCCAUGGAGGCGCCGGAGCUGGCCGCGGCGGCCGCGGCGGACCCCGAGCCUCCGGCAGCCGCGGGGCGCACUCCCGACGGGGCGCCCGCGCCCAGCCCCAGCCCCGAGGCGCCCUCGCCCGAGCCGCCCGGCUACGCCCUGCAGAACUUCGACAUCCUGGCCACCGUGGGUGA